rnacentral:rRNA from 1 species
GUGGGGAAUUUUGGACAAUGGGGGCAACCCUGAUCCAGCCAUUCCGCGUGCGGGAAGAAGGCCUUCGGGUUGUAAACCGCUUUCGGACGGAAAGAAAUCGCCAUUCCUAAUACGAGUGGUGGAUGACGGUACCGUAAGAAGAAGCACCGGCUAACUACGUGCCAGCAGCCGCGGUAAUACGUAGGGUGCGAGCGUUAAUCGGAAUUACUGGGCGUAAAGCGUGCGCAGGCGGAUAUUUAAGUCAGACGUGAAAUCCCCGAGCUUAACUUGGGAAUUGCGUUUGAAACUGGAUGUCUAGAGUGCGUCAGAGGGGGGUGGAAUUCCACGUGUAGCAGUGAAAUGCGUAGAGAUGUGGAGGAACACCGAUGGCGAAGGCAGCCCCCUGGGAUGACACUGACGCUCAUGCACGAAAGCGUGGGGAGCAAACAGGAUUAGAUACCCUGGUAGUCC